rnacentral:rRNA from 1 species
CUACGGGUUGCUGCAGUGGGGAAUAUUGCACAAUGGGCGCAAGCCUGAUGCAGCAACGCCGCGUGAGGGAUGAAGGCCUUCGGGUUGUAAACCUCUUUUAGCAGGGAAGAAGCGAAAGUGACGGUACCUGCAGAAAAGGCACCGGCUAACUACGUGCCAGCAGCCGCGGUAAUACGUAGGGUGCAAGCGUUGUCCGGAAUUAUUGGGCGUAAAGAGCUCGUAGGCGGUUUGUCACGUCUGCUGUGAAAAUCCAAGGCUCAACCUUGGACUUGCAGUGGGUACGGGCAGGCUAGAGUGCGGUAGGGGAGAGGGGAAUUCCUGGUGUAGCGGUGGAAUGCGCAGAUAUCAGGAGGAACACCAAUGGCGAAGGCACAUCUCUGGGCCGUAGCUGACGCUGAGGAGCGAAAGCGUGGGGAGCGAACAGGAUUAGAUACCCUAGUAGUC